UAAACAAAAAUCUGAAAAUCCAAAUCCCGCGAUGUGAGAAGUCUCAGGUCCAAAUGUAGCAAUUCCCUGCCCAGUGACAAAGCCGAACUACAAAUUGAAGUGAGAAAUCGACUAGCACCGUCGUACAACAUUUGAUUCACCCUAAUUGAUAAUUCUCAAUGAGUUUAGCAGGAAAAUUUGUGGUUUGGCUCAUUUUUUGGUCACAUAUUUACUCAGUUAUAGUUUAGGUGCCAUGUUUUCUUCACUGCCAUAUUUCCUUUUUCAUAACUAAUUUGAUUUGCUGCAUUUGAGCCGUGGGUCUUUCAAAAACAGCCUCUUCACCUCCAUGAGGUAGGGGUAAGGUAUGUGUACACUCUACCCUCUCUAGACCCCACUUGUGGGAUUACACUGGAUAUGUUGUUGUUGUUGGUGUAGUAUUUGCUCAAUUAUAGUCAUAUUUAAUUGGUUAAUUGGUUUUGAAACAAAACUUUGGCAAUUCUUGGUCGCAUCGAUAAUAACAAUUAUACAUCUAAACUUCUAAUUCUUCUGCUGGAUUAAUAUCAUUUGAGGUGUUUUCAUUGUGCAAACUGGCUGUUAGGAAUGAGAAGGAUCUGGAAAGUUUAAAUGUGUCACCUAAAACCGGAGCAUGAACUCUUUCCAGUAGUGUUACUCAGGAGAGGAAUGGGACCUUUCCAACUAUGUUCAAUGGAGGAAACCAUGAUACAUCUACAUCCAAUUACCUUUGAGAGCUGCUCCUUAUUGAAGUGAAGAUAUUCCCAUAGAAGAUGCAGAUGAUAUGAAGGAACUCAAAGAGGUUGAUCUGCAGAAACUUAGAAGGGUUAAUAUAAAUCUCAUCUUUUGGAUAGGACUUCUUUGCACAUUUCCCUGACACCCUUCAUGGUACUCAUGACUGGUUUCUUUUAUGGCCAAACACAAAGGGGAUUCACAUGGAUUGAUGGUUGCCUCCAGAGGGACCAAGUUCAAUUCAUCUGUUUAACUUAGACUCUACUGCUGGCUUACCCAAUGGAUUCCAGAGAAGUAUAUAUUAUUCCCCUUGCAGGUACUGCACGUUAGGCAGACAUGCUUAUCUUCCUUUAUCCUAAGCUGUUGAGCCAAUUAUGGUACGUGUUUUGAGCUAGACGGAGAUAUUUUAAAUGGUAAGACCGACUAUUAUGCUUGGUGAUGAGAUACAUCAAUGCGAACUUUUCAGAUGUAAUAACUCAUGAACAGCUAACAAAUAUUUUGACUUAUGUUUCUGCCUUAGUUAUCAAUUCAACAUCAUUUUUUCCUGUCCA